rfam:Oryza sativa (indica cultivar-group) chromosome 11, whole genome shotgun sequence.
UUUAAGUAUAGCCAUGAGUUUUUUAUCCAACUUUGAUAUUACAUCUUAUUUGAAUUUUUUUAUGAUUAGUAUUUUUAUUGUUAUUAGAUAAUAAAACAUGAAUAGUACUUUAUGCGUGAUAUGCUUUUUUUAAAAAAUAAUUUAAAUAAGAUUAAAGUUGGAACGCUUCAAAUAGG